AUAGCCCUCUUCUCUCAGCACCACAAGACGCAGCCAUGCACCCUCGGUCCCCCUCACGGCUCACGAAUGAUGUCGCCACCUUUCCUCUCUCAGCCCUCCCUCUACCGCGCCUCUCACCAUCUGCCAUCAUCCUUUCCUUCUCAACCCUCUAUUUGUCUCUCACCAGCCACCGUCACGGCUUCUGUCACCACUCACUCGCCUCAGAGUCAUGACGGUGCUGCGCUGCUUCUCGCCUCUCGGUGAUGACGAGUUGGCGACCCUCAGCUACAACAAAUGCGAAGUGCGAUGGCGCUUCUCUAACCCUCAACAACGAUGACUAGUUUUCCUGUCUCGGUCACGACGGUGUUGUCCCCAGUCGUCCUCUUCUUCUCUGCCGCUAGUCUUCUUCUUCUUCUCCUCUUCUUUGACCUCUGCUCAAGUUCAGGUUUUCAGGUACUAUGGCUGCUGGGUUAAGGGGUUGUUGGUUUAUGGACUACUCUGAUUUUCUGAAAUUGUUGAUUUCUAUUGUUGCUUGGUGCACUACUUACAUUGUUGUUGCAUUUCUUGAUUUCUUUCCGUCCGUUAAUUGUCCUACAGCUUCCUGAGCUUCAGAGAGGUUAGGGAAGAUUGCUUGAGUUAGUUACAAAUGGUGUAUUUUAGAGGAGAGGAAGAACAAAGAAAACUUUACCAGAAAUUAUUAGAAGAGAUUUAAAAAUGAAUGGGAUAAACACAAAGAUGACUUAUGACAGGGCACAAUAGCAUUGGUUGUUUCAUGUAUCUAACUCUAGUUAUUGUUAUUGUCUUUGUUGUUUUGUGUAUUGUCUAAUCUUUGUAAGCUAUCUGCACCUAGUGGGACAAGAUUAUUAAACUU